AACGUAGGGUGCAAGCGUAGUCCGGAUUUAUUGGGUUUAAAGGGUGCGAAGGCGCCUUAUUCAGUUAGAGGUGAAAACGUUCGGCUUAACCGGAUACCCGCCAUUGAUACUGAUAGACUUGAGUGCGACAGAGGGUGUUGGAAUGUGUGGUGUAGCGGUGAAAUGCUUAGAUAUCACGCAGAACACCAAUUGCGAAGGCAGAUGCCUAUGUCGUAACUGACGCUGAGGCACGAAAGCGUGGGGAGCAAACAGG
rnacentral:rRNA from 1 species